CUUCGUCGGCCAUAAUUAUAACCAGAAAGAGGUCACGGUGUUGGAGUUAUCCUGCCAGAAGACGAAGGAUGGCGUGAUUAAUAACCGGAUAAGUUCUUGCACCUGUAACGACUUCAGAUCGUCUUCCGGCCUCAUCUGUAGUGAUCAUGUAUGUCUGUCGUUAAUAAUUUUCGUUAAUUUUCAAAUCUUUCGGCAGUUUCUUCCGACAAUGCCACCGCAUUACCUUGUGUCGACGAACAGCUGAAAAGAAAUCAGUGGGAG